AUGCUUCCAGUGAUAUCAUUUCAGAUGAAACAGUCUCAACAUGGAACAUCUUGAUUCACCCAUGUUCGAACAGAAAAAUCCGGACCGUCAAAAAUUUUUAUUGUUAUUGGAUGGCGUAACUUAAUGAAUCCAUAAGAAAUCUCCAUAGGGGAUGCUUGUGUGUUCAAAGAUCUAUAAGGCAAGAGAAGAGGGAUUGCUUAUGAAAUGUUACAGUGUGUACAUGGAUGAACAAUAAUAACCAAAGAUGACGUUUAGGAACUUUAUUGAUCAAGUAUGAAGAAAAACUCAUUGAUAGUUCACCAAG